AGUGAGCGCUGGCGGUAGGCCUAACACAUGCAAGUCGAACGGCAGCACAGUAAGAGCUUGCUCUUACGGGUGGCGAGUGGCGGACGGGUGAGGAAUACAUCGGAAUCUACUUUUUCGUGGGGGAUAACGUAGGGAAACUUACGCUAAUACCGCAUACGACCUACGGGUGAAAGCAGGGGAUCUUCGGACCUUGCGCGAUUGAAUGAGCCGAUGUCGGAUUAGCUAGUUGGCGGGGUAAAGGCCCACCAAGGCGACGAUCCGUAGCUGGUCUGAGAGGAUGAUCAGCCACACUGGAACUGAGACACGGUCCAGACUCCUACGGGAGGCAGCAGUGGGGAAUAUUGGACAAGGGGCGCAAGCCUGAUCCAGCCAUACCGCGGGGGUGAAGAAGGCCUUCGGGUUGUAAAGCCCUUUUGUUGGGAAAGAAAAGCAGCAGGUUAAUACCCCGCUGUUCGGACGGUACCCAAAGAAUAAGCACCGGCUAACUUCGU
rnacentral:rRNA from 1 species